rnacentral:pre_miRNA from 1 species
AUAAUACUCCCUCCGUCCGGAAUUACUUUUCAUCAAAAUGGAUGUGUCUAGAACUAAAAUACAUCUAGAUACAUCCAUUUCAAUGACAAGUAUUUUCGGACGGAGGGAGUAGUAG